GACGAACGCUGGCGGCGUGCCUAACACAUGCAAGUCGAACGGAGAUACGAUUUCGCUUGUAUCUUAGUGGCGAACGGGUGAGUAACGCGUACGCAACCUGACCGUUAGAGUGGGAUAACACUUGGAAACAGGUGCUAAUACCGCAUAAGACCACGACCCGACCUCGGGAUGCGGUCAAAGGAGAAAUCCGCUAAAGGAGGGGCUCGCGUCCCAUUAGAUAGAUGGCGGGGUAACGGCCCACCAUGUCGACGAUCGGUAGCCGAGCUGAGAGGCUGAUCGGCCACACUGGAACUGAGACACGGUCCAGACUCCUACGGGAGGCAGCAGUGGGGAAUAUUGGGCAAUGGGCGCAAGCCUGACCCAGCAACGCCGCGUGAGGGAAGAAGGUCUUCGGAUUGUAAACCUCUGUCCUUGGUGACGAAACAGAUGACGGUAGCCAAGGAGGAAGCCCCGGCUAACUACGUGCCAGCAGCCGCAGUAA
rnacentral:rRNA from 1 species